rnacentral:rRNA from 1 species
AGAGUUUGAUCCUGGCUCAGGAUGAACGCUAGCUACAGGCUUAACACAUGCAAGUCGAGGGGAAACGACAUCGAAAGCUUGCUUUUGAUGGGCGUCGACCGGCGCACGGGUGAGUAACGCGUAUCCAACCUGCCCACCACUUGGGGAUAACCUUGCGAAAGUAAGACUAAAUACCCAAUGACGUCUCUAGAAGACAUCUGAAAGAGAUUAAAGAUUUAUCGGUGAUGGAUGGGGAUGCGUCUGAUUAGGCUUGUUGGGCGGGGUAACGGCCCACCAAGGCGACGAUCAGUAGGGGUUCUGAGAGGGAAGGUCCCCCACAUUGGAACUGAGACACGGUCCCAAACUCCGUACGGGAGGCA